CCUACGGGUGGCAGCAGUGAGGAAUAUUGGUCAAUGGGCGGGAGCCUGAACCAGCCAAGUCGUGUGAGGGAAGACGGUCCUAUGGAUUGUAAACCUCUUUAGGCGGGGAGCAAUGCCGGGCACGUGUGCCCGGAGGGAGAGUACCCGCAGAAUAAGCAUCGGCUAACUCCGUGCCAGCAGCCGCGGUAAUACGGAGGAUGCGAGCGUUAUCCGGAUUUAUUGGGUUUAAAGGGUGCGUAGGCGGAUUUUUAAGUCAGCGGUAAAAUGUCCGGGCUCAACCCGGGCCGGCCGUUGAAACUGGGGAUCUUGAGUGGGCGAGAAGUAUGCGGAAUGCGUGGUGUAGCGGUGAAAUGCAUAGAUAUCACGCAGAACUCCGAUUGCGAAGGCAGCUUACUAAGCCAUAACUGACACUGAAGCACGAAAGCGUGGGGAUCAAACAGGAUUAGAUACCCUUGUAGUC
rnacentral:rRNA from 1 species